rnacentral:tRNA from 1 species
GCCCCGGUAGCUCAGCUGGAUAGAGCAAGCGCCUCCUAAGCGCUAGGUCGGACGUUCGAAUCGUCUCCGGGGCACCA